rnacentral:misc_RNA from 1 species
AAGUCGUAACAAGGUUUCCGUAGGUGAACCUGCGGAAGGAUCAUUACCAAGAGAACAGAAAUCCACUUCAGGGACGGCGGGACCUGACGGACGUCUUGAACCCUGGUUGGGGACCACCCCUACUACCUGCCGAAACGCCACCGUCCUAGCGGUUGGCGGGACGAUGAAUCAGGCACGGUGGCCCGUUUACCUUCACAUAAUUUGCCCCUGCGUACCCACUUCCACGUUGCUUCCCCGCAAUCCUCAUCUCAUUGGUGGACGCGGGGGCAGGUCUCCAACAAAACGCACCUUGCACUCAGCAGCAGUCAGACGACCAAUGACAAAGUCAUUAAAAC